CUCUCUCUCUCUCUCUCUCUGCUGCUGCCUUGGGAAGAGAUGCCUGCUUCCGCUUCACCUUCCACCAUGCCUGUCCAACUUAAGAUGACCUAACUCAGAACAUACCUCCACUCCAGCUGCAGCCAAGAGCCACCGGAUGGGCUCCAUUCUGCCCCGUCCAUUGAAGUAGUGAAGCUUGGGCUUCCCCGCCAUGAUAUGCUGAACAAGAAGGAGGAGGAUGUGGAAGAAGAAGAGGCGGCAGAGGAAAAAGAGGGGGAGGAAGAAGAAAGAGGGCAAAGAGAACAAAGAGAAGGAGGGAAGAAGGAGGAGAAGAAGAAGGAAAAAUAGCAUGCUACUUGGUGCUCAGUCACAAAGUCACUUGUAUGAGCAAUAAACUAAUCUGUGUAAAAUCAAUGAUGGAAGUGUAAAUUUAGAUUCUGAUUGGCAAGCAUUGAUGAUUGGUUACCCAUUUGGAAGUACCAGUUCUAGAGGAAUACAACCAUCCAGAUGUAUUUUCUUUUCACUGAUCAAGUGGUGCUCCCACAUGUGUGACCCUGCCAACUUUAAAUCUAGUAUAAUUGUGUGUUGACUCCUGUAUGAAUCACAUGAAUACAUGUUUUUAAUAAACAACUUUACCAUAAGCAA